rnacentral:rRNA from 1 species
GCCUCCUCGCGCCAUCAGACUCCUACGGGAGGCAGCAGUGGGGAAUUUUGGCGCAAUGGGGGAAACCCUGGACGCAGCAACGCCGACGUGGAGGAUGAAGUCCCUUAGGGACGUAAACUCCUUUCGACUGGGAAGAUAAAUGACGGUACCAGUGGAAGAAGCCCGGCUAACUUCGUGCCAGCAGCCGCGGAAUU